ACUUAUAAAAAAUAUUGAGCACAACAAAGAAUUGAAGGGAAAAAAGAAGAAGUUGAGUACAACAAAAAUAUGGGUCAAUUUUGGUUCUUAUGCUUUCUCAAUGUCAACAGAUGUAAGUUUUCGUCAUUUUUGUCAAUCUAUAGAAAGAAUUUAGCAUGACUAUAGCUUGAUUUGGUAACUAAAUGAAGAAAGAAAUUGGAUUGACGGGGCUUUUGCAGGGAAAUUUAAGCAAGGGGGUAUAGGGGGCGUAUUUAGAGAUACUAAUGGGGAUUGAAUACUAGGAUUCAGCAAACCAUUAUGGUCCAACUCCGUUAUUCAUGGAACUCCAAAUAUUAUGCUAUGGACUGCAACUAGCAAACGAUCACAACUGGACUCAACGUUCAUAUCAGCCCUACUUGAAACUUCAAAUUAUCCAUCCUAUAAUGCACUAAUCUCUAAUUGCAGGUACUGGCGGAGAAGGUUGGGGAAUCCACCGAUCCAACAUAACUUUCGAGAAGGAAACCAAGUAGCACAAGAACUAGCACAACAAGGAGUUAUGCAAGCCAAUGUCUACUAUUCUCAAGUAUAUCCAUCCAUACCAGAAUUCCUAACGAAUGCAAUCCAAGCAGACAAGGAAGAUCACUACUACUAGGAUCAAUACCACCAAUGUUGUUGUUUUAAAUUAAAUAAUUUGGCUACGCUUGAAAACUCUACUAUGACAUCUUUUGGCUGUAAUAGUUCUAGUACUAGUAUAAAUAUGUCUGCUCCCAAUGGGAGGACAAUGUACUGUAACUCUCGCGACUAGUUGUUAAUAAACUAUCUUUUUCUACCGAAAAAAA
rnacentral:lncRNA from 1 species